CAAGCUUGCUGUGGAGCCGGAUUCUUUUCAGACAGGGUCUUGCACCAAAGAUUUCAAAAGGGCAUGUGAUAGGAACAACAUUGCGAAUUGUGAUCAGCUCUUCUUCACUAUUGUCCACGACGGGCAUUGGGCAGUUGUGGUUGCAAACUUGAUGCAAAAACAAUUCAAUGUGUUUGAUUCCAGGAGUGACGAUCCUAACUACGUCAGUGUUCUUGAGGAGCCAUGUCACAAUCUGAUAGCAAACUUUAAAACUUUGACCAGAGAACAAAACCCAUGGAAGCACGACCUUGAUACAUUCAUUCGUUUCAGCCCAGAUGGGUAUCCG